GUCAAAUUAGCAGCAUAUAAAAACCAUUUGUUUAUGUCAUGUUUGUUUUAUUUUAAAUAUAUUUUGACUUGUUAAACUUAAAGAAACAAUGUUUAGGGCUAAAUAACUUGUAGAAAAAAUGGUAUGUGUGUGCGAGUAUGUGUGAUCGAUAAGAAUAGUAAUUUGUACCUUCUGUUUUAAGUUAAAACAACGUUUUAAGUUACAAAAUAGCCAAGAAUUACGUAAAAAUGGAUGCUGUAGCUAUAAAAAAUAUUAUUAAAACCAUUAUAAUCAGAGAUUCCUAGUUUUUUCCAAAGUCAUCAUAAACGGGGGUACGUAUUAAUUAUUCCCUUGUAAUUUAGCUGUGUUAUUUUUAUCAUAUUGUACCAGUUAUAGUGUUAUUUAUUUUUUAAGAAUCGGGUGGCGACCAACUUUUGUAUAAAUAUUUUUUAUAGGCUGCUCAGUUUUUUAUCCUCGCCAUUUUUUGUAUUCUUUUUUUCAAAAAUGUUGCCACCCAAAAAAACUAAGAAAAUUUUGAUAGAGAUUAAUAUUCGAAAUGGCUGUUUAUGUGUUAAGGUGUUUUGUCUUUUUUUACCGCUUGGAUUGUAUGUUUUAUAUAGACAAUUUAGUGUGUUAUACAGUCAACAGUCAGUCAGCAUCAAAUAGAUAGUGACGCUCAAAGUGGCCAUUACGGUAACAAAGGUGUGUUACGAUAUAUUUGGCCACUUUGACCGUUAAUAGAUAUCUAUUUGAUGAUGACUGUACAUAAGAUAUACUUCAAAAAUGUGAUGGUCACGAGAAUUUAUUAUUAGUCAGAGAUUUAAUUGACAUUAAUUUGGUAUUUUCUUUUUUAUUAAUAUUUUGUCGGAUUUUAUAUAAUUUAGACAUAUCGUAUGGACCGUGGACCUAACUUAGCGAUGUAUAGCGAAACGUAUUAUUUAUUUACAUGGAGAUAUUCCUACCAUUUGUAAAUUGUAAAUAAUAAAAAUUAGUUGUAAGCGACUUGAGGGAUAUUCAUGAGAAAUAAAAGGGGUUUUAUAAUUA